ACGAACGCUGGCGGCGUGCUUCACACAUGCAAGUCGAACGAAGAGCGAUGGAAGCUUGCUUCUAUCAAUCUUAGUGGCGAACGGGUGAGUAACGCGUAAUCAACCUGCCCUUCAGAGGGGGACAACAGUUGGAAACGACUGCUAAUACCGCAUACGAUCUGACCUCGGCAUCGAGGAUAGAUGAAAGGUGGCCUCUACAUGUAAGCUAUCACUGAAGGAGGGGAUUGCGUCUGAUUAGCUAGUUGGAGGGGUAACGGCCCACCAAGGCGAUGAUCAGUAGCCGGUCUGAGAGGAUGAACGGCCACAUUGGGACUGAGACACGGCCCAGACUCCUACGGGAGGCAGCAGUGGGGAAUCUUCCGCAAUGGACGAAAGUCUGACGGAGCAACGCCGCGUGAGUGAUGACGGCCUUCGGGUUGUAAAGCUCUGUUAAUCGGGACGAAAGGCCUUUUUGCGAAUAGUGAGAAGGAUUGACGGUACCGGAAUAGAAAGCCACGGCUAACUACGUG
rnacentral:rRNA from 1 species